GAUGAACGCUGGCGGCGUGCCUAACACAUGCAAGUCGAGCGAUUUUCUUCGGAAAAGAGCGGCGGACGGGUGAGUAACGCGUGGGUAACCUGCCUCAUACACAUGGAUAACAUACCGAAAGGUAUGCUAAUACAAGAUGAUAUAAGAGAUUCGCAUGGAUUUCUUAUCAAAGCUCCGGCGGUAUGAGAUGGACCCGCGUCUGAUUAGCUAGUUGGUAAGGUAACGGCCUACCAAGGCGACGAUCAGUAGCCGACCUGAGAGGGUGAUCGGCCACAUUGGAACUGAGACACGGUCCAAACUCCUACGGGAGGCAGCAGUGGGGAAUAUUGCACAAUGGGCGAAAGCCUGAUGCAGCAACGCCGCGUGAGCGAUGAAGGCCUUCGGGUCGUAAAGCUCUGUCCUCAAGGAAGAUAAUGACGGUACUUGAGGAGGAAGCCCCGGCUAACUACGUGCCAGCAGCCGCCGCUGUAA
rnacentral:rRNA from 1 species